AAAUUGAAGAGUUUGAUCAUGGCUCAGAUUGAACGCUGGCGGCAGGCCUAACACAUGCAAGUCGAGCGGUAGCACAGAGAGCUUGCUCUCGGGUGACGAGCGGCGGACGGGUGAGUAAUGUCUGGGAAACUGCCUGAUGGAGGGGGAUAACUACUGGAAACGGUAGCUAAUACCGCAUAAUGUCGCAAGACCAAAGUGGGGGACCUUCGGGCCUCAUGCCAUCAGAUGUGCCCAGAUGGGAUUAGCUAGUAGGUGGGGUAAUGGCUCACCUAGGCGACGAUCCCUAGCUGGUCUGAGAGGAUGACCAGCCACACUGGAACUGAGACACGGUCCAGACUCCUACGGGAGGCAGCAGUGGGGAAUAUUGCACAAUGGGCGCAAGCCUGAUGCAGCCAUGCCGCGUGUGUGAAGAAGGCCUUCGGGUUGUAAAGCACUUUCAGCGGGGAGGAAGGCG
rnacentral:rRNA from 1 species